rnacentral:lncRNA from 9 species
AUGGCUCAGGAUGGGGCUAGCGUGCAGCUGGUGCUCAGUGUGUGUGUGUGCACUGCAAGCACAAUCAGGGAGGGUGGCGGGCGAGGCCCAGGGAGGUCUUCUGAGGGAGCGGAUUUGAGCCUGGUAUUGCGGAUUCUGUCCGGAAGGAAAGACAGGGUUGCUGCAAAGGAGACCUGGACCCGAGUGUCAGGAUCAGAGCAAAGGAAGGCUCCCCGAGACCUCCCAGCCUGGGCUCCUGCAACCGCACGGGGCACCCCACCUUUAAGAAUGGGGGCCUUUUAUGCGCCAGUCUUUCCUUUUCCCUCCCUGCCUCCCUUCAGAAAGGAGGCUGCAGUCAGGAGUCCCUGCCCUCGUGGAGCUUACCCUCCAGGUUCCCACUGAAAGCUGAGAAAACAGAAACGAGCCACAAGAACACAGAAUCACUCAAAACUACAGUGAUCCUAUACUUCAUAACUGGGGCACCGUGAACAGCGACACGGGCAGGCCAGGCGUAAACCGGGCACCUGUGGGCACCCUGUUCCUAACGCAGCUCGGGGUGACAGCGUGGAGCAGGCUCUCCUGCAGCCCUAGCAGCGGGGGACCAAGAAGACGCAUUCUGAGCGAUAGCUUCCGUUCGGGAGCGUCGCCCCACCAAGCAGCUCCUCUAUGACCCCGUCUUCAGGUAGAGCAGAAGCAGAAUAGAGAAUUCUCAGAAAAGAGGCGAGUGCCUGGGCCUACGAAGCGGACACCGUGCCUGAGCCUCGCUGCGGGGAAAGCAGGGGACACAGCAACGCCCUCCCAUGCGAGGUCUAUGCCCAACGGUCAGGCUUCCACCCCACGGGUCGGCCGCUGUCUAGAGCUACCCAGAGGGCGGGUUGCUCAGACCCACGGUCACUGCCCCCAUCAGAUGAAGUCUGUAAAGACUAAAGAGGACGAUGAGAUGGUGACGAUGUUAACGGCGCUGGUGAUAAUGUGACGGCCGCCAGGAGGAUGGAAUGAGGAUGAGGAGACGGUGGGGGAAAAGUGAUUAGAUGGGGGUGAGAAUGAGGAUGAGGAGACG